ACCCCAAGGCCCCAGGCCCAACAUUAGGAAAACUAACCCCUGUGCCCUGAAGCUGCAAGAUGUUCCAUAUAGAUAACCCCGGAAGGGCCAAACUUGAGCAAACAGGGUAAAAACAGGAACUAAAAGGACAGGAUGCAAUUUUAUGGUUUUUCUGAGAACUAAAGUGGGAAAACAAGUUUACCCCCCUAGGUGACUCAACUGCUGAAUUCAGAGGGACCAAUAGGAAGGCUGUUGCUGUGCUAAGCUAAGACCUAACCCACCUGUUCCCUAUAAAAGAUCUAUACCCCAAAGCCCGGUGUGCCAGUUCACCGAAGCUCCGGCUGAGGUUUUGCUGUGCACCCGCAGGCGCCUGUGUGAGAAUAAACGCCUCCUGCUUUUUGCAGCCAGUGUCUUGUGUGGUUCAUUCCGGGUUUGGGAUCUGUGGAUAUUUCAUUGUGGAGGUUCCACCGAGAUCCAAGAUCCCGGUUCCGGUUCCGAUCCCGGUCCCUAUCCGGAGGACACCCGACAUCACUGGGAGACUCAUUUGCAUGCUUUGCAAUUGGUCCAGAACGAGGUCUGGAAGCCUCUAGCCGCAGCAUACAAAGAGGAACUUAAAACCCCCUUGCUGCCACAUCCCUUCAAGGUCGGAGAUACCGUCUGGGUACGCAGGCACCAGAGCAGGAACCUCGAACCGCGGUGGAAAGGACCCUACACUAUCCUGCUGACCACUCCUACUGCACUCAAAGUGGACGGCAUCGCUGCUUAGAUCCAUGCUUCCCACGUGAAGACUGCACAUCCACAGGAGUCCGCAGACACCUCUCCGGAUCCAGAAUGAAAGUUGCAACGUACCCAAAAUCCGCUAAAAAUAAGACUCACUCGCUGUUAAUUUUUCUUGCUUUGUGCUGUGUCUUCCCCAUAUCAGUUAACCCCAACCAAUCUGUGAGCCAGACAUGACAAGUAUUAUCGGGGACAAGAAAUAUAAUUUAAAAAAAAAAAAACAAAACAGGAUCCCCCACUUUCUGCCGACUCUUGCAGGAGCCUGAAAUGGUACGGGGCAGGGCCAUGUACCGCAUUUGCCUGCAACCCCUUAAACAUUACCUUUACUCAGGCAGGCAAAGCAUCAAAAGAUUGGAUAAAAAAAAAAAACAAUGGGGCCUGAGAGUAUAUCAUAAAACUGCCUAUGACCCUGGGGUCCUAUUCAAAAUUAGAUUAAUAGUAAAUACCAACCCCCAACCAGUAUGCUGAGCCGUCAGCUGAAAUAAUGCUGGAAUCCGAGCAGAUGGGUCAAUGGAUAUAAGAUUAUAUCCAUGAUAUAAAAAAAGGGGGGAAUGAAGGACCCCAAGGCCCCAGGCCCAACAUUAGGAAAACUAACCCCUGUGCCCUGAAGCUGCAAGAUGUUCCAUAUAGAUAACCCCGGAAGGGCCAAACUUGAGCAAACAGGGUAAAAACAGGAACUAAACGGACAGGAUGCAAUUUUAUGGUUUUUCUGAGAACUAAAGUGGGAAAACAAGUUUACCCCCCUAGGUGACUCAACUGCUGAAUUCAGAGGGACCAAUAGGAAGGCUGUUGCUGUGCUAAGCUAAGACCUAACCCACCUGUUCCCUAUAAAAGAUCUAUACCCCAAAGCCCGGUGUGCCAGUUCACCGAAGCUCCGGCUGAGGUUUUGCUGUGCACCCGCAGGCGCCUGUGUGAGAAUAAACGCCUCCUGCUUUUUGCA